rnacentral:rRNA from 1 species
AACGGCCGUACCAUGCUGAAUAUACCGGUUCUAUUUAGAUCACCGAAGUUAAGCAUCAUUGGGCCCGGUCAGUACUUGGGUGGGUGACCACCUGGGAACACUGCGUGCCGUU